rnacentral:rRNA from 1 species
GUAGGGUGCGAGCGUUAAUCGGAAUUACUGGGCGUAAAGGGUGCGCAGGCGGCCCCGCAAGUCAGACGUGAAAUCCCCGGGCUUAACUUGGGAAUGGCGUUUGAAACUACGGGGCUGGAGUGUGGCAGAGGGAGGUGGAAUUCCACGUGUAGCGGUGAAAUGCGUAGAGAUGUGGAGGAACACCGAUGGCGAAGGCAGCCUCCUGGGCCAACACUGACGCUCAUGCACGAAAGCGUGGGGAGCAAACAGGAUUAGAUACCCUGGUAGUCCACGCCCUAAACGAUGAUGACUAGUUGUUGGAGGAGUUAAAUCCUUUAGUAACGCAGCUAACGCGAGAAGUCAUCCGCCUGGGGAGUACGGUCGCAAGAUUA